ACAGCCAGGAUAUGAACCAGUGUCCAAGUGGAAUCCCAGUGCUUGCAAGGUGAGGACGUUGCUGGCCGCUAAUCUAUUUCUAAAAACAGGUGUCUUUAAGUGUUAGAACCAUGUCUCCGUCCCCUACUCUCAUGGAGAAAUUGGGCUCUAGUGUGAUGCAGUUUCCUCCCUUUUCGGAGUGGUAGGAUUCUUUGUAGAACUUUCUGACAUAAUUAGUUAAGUAGAUGGU